rnacentral:rRNA from 1 species
UACGAAGGGGGCUAGCGUUGCUCGGAAUCACUGGGCGUAAAGCGCACGUAGGCGGCUUUUUAAGUCAGGGGUGAAAUCCUGGAGCUCAACUCCAGAACUGCCUUUGAUACUGGCGAUCUCGAGUCCGGGAGAGGUGAGUGGAACUGCGAGUGUAGAGGUGAAAUUCGUAGAUAUUCGCAAGAACACCAGUGGCGAAGGCGGCUCACUGGCCCGAUACUGACGCUGAGGCACGAAAGCGUGGGGAGCAAACAGG